rnacentral:lncRNA from 1 species
GAGCACCUUGAUAGCUCAGUUGGUAGAGCGGUGGACUCUAAGAUGCUCCUUGUGUGAAACGCUGUGAUCCUAAGGUGGCUGGUUCAACUCCAGCCGGAAGCACCUCCUUGUCAUUGGAAAUACCCCCAAGCCUUGUCUUUAUCUGUCAACUCCUCCAAAAUGUAAAAUCACAAACAAGAUAACUCGUUCUUAAAUUUUCAACCAUCAAUUUUUUAUUCACCCAGCCUAAAAGUCCUGAUUAUCAGUUCUGGGUCCCUGGCAAUGACUGUUGGGUACAAACUGCAAAGCUUUGUUCUGCAGGUAGGGCUGGGCUUUUCAUUGACCAUGGGUUGGAAUAGUUCUGUGGGCAUAGUGUGUCUUCGAAGCCACUAUGUUUUCUGCACUUGAGACUAGUGAGCCCCUUGAUAGCUCAGUUGGUAGAGCGGUCGACUGUAAGAUGCUCCUUGUGUGAAACGCUGUGAUCCUAAGGUGGCUGGUUCAACUCCAGCCGGAAGCACCUCCUCGUCAUUGGAAAUACCCCCAAGCCUUGUCUUUAUCUGUCAACUCCUCCAAAAUGUAAAAACACAAACAACAUAACUCUUUCUUAAAUUUUCAACCAUCAAUUUUUUAUUCACCCAGCCUAAAAGUCCUGAUUAUCAGUUCUGGGUCCCUGGCAAUGACUGUUGGGUACAAACUGCAAAGCUUUGUUCGUCAGGUAGGGCUGGGCUUUUCAUUGACCAUGGGUUGGAAUAGUUCUGUGGGCAUAGUGUGUCUUCGAAGCCACUAUGUUUUCUGCACAUGUGACUAGAGAGCCCCUUGAUAGCUCAGUUGGUAGAGCGGUGGACUGUAAGAUGCUCCUUGUGUGAAACGCUGUGAUCCUAAGGUCGCUCGUUCAACUCCAGCCGGAAACACCUCCUCGUCAUUGGAAAUACCCCCAAGCCUUGUCUUUAUCUGUCAACUCCUCCAAAAUGUAAAAACACAAACAAGAUAACUCUUUCUUAAAUUUUCAACCAUCAAUUUUUUAUUCCCCCAGCCUAAAAGUCCUGAUUAUCAGUUCUGGGUCCCUGGCAAUGACUGUUGGGUACAAACUGCAAAGCUUUGUUCGUCAGGUAGGGCUGGGCUUUUCAUUGACCAUGGGUUGGAAUAGUUCUGUGGGCAUAGUGUGUCUUCGAAGCCACUAUGUUUUCUGCACUUGUCACUAGAGAGCAACUUGAUAGCUCAGUUGGUAGAGCGGUGGACUGUAAGAUGCUCCUUGUGUGAAACGCUGUGAUCCUAAGGUGGCUGGUUCAACUCCAGCCGGAAGCACCUCCUUGUCAUUGGAAAUACCCCCAAGCCUUGUCUUUAUCUGUCAACUCCUCCAAAAUGUAAAAACACAAACAAGAUAACUCUUUCUUAAAUUUUCAACCAUCAAUUUUUUAUUCACCCAGCCUAAAAGUCCUGAUUAUCAGUUCUGGGUCCCUGGCAAUGACUGUUGGGUACAAACUGCAAAUCUUUGUUCGUCAGGUAGGGCUGGGCUUUUCAUUGACCAUGGGUUGGAAUAGUUCUGUGGGCAUAGUGUGUCUUCGAAGCCACUAUGUUUUCUGCACUUGUGACUAGAGAGCCCCUUGAUAGCUCAGUUGGUAGACCGGUGGACUGUAAGAUGCUCCUUGUGUGAAACGCUGUGAUCCUAAGGUCGCUCGUUCAACUCCAGCCGGAAACACCUCCUCGUCAUUGGAAAUACCCCCAAGCCUUGUCUUUAUCUGUCAACUCCUCCAAAAUGUAAAAUCACAAACAAGAUAACUCGUUCUUAAAUUUUCAACCAUCAAUUUUUUAUUCACCCAGCCUAAAAGUCCUGAUUAUCAGUUCUGGGUCCCUGGCAAUGACUGUUGGGUACAAACUGCAAAGCUUUGUUCUGCAGGUAGGGCUGGGCUUUUCAUUGACCAUGGGUUGGAAUAGUUCUGUGGGCAUAGUGUGUCUUCGAAGCCACUAUGUUUUCUGCACUUGAGACUAGUGAGCCCCUUGAUAGCUCAGUUGGUAGAGAGGUCGACUGUAAGAUGCUCCUUGUGUGAAACGCUGUGAUCCUAAGGUGGCUGGUUCAACUCCAGCCGGAAGCACCUCCUCGUCAUUGGAAAUACCCCCAAGCCUUGUCUUUAUCUGUCAACUCCUCCAAAAUGUAAAAACACAAACAACAUAACUCUUUCUUAAAUUUUCAACCAUCAAUUUUUUAUUCACCCAGCCUAAAAGUCCUGAUUAUCAGUUCUGGGUCCCUGGCAAUGACUGUUGGGUACAAACUGCAAAGCUUUGUUCGUCAGGUAGGGCUGGGCUUUUCAUUGACCAUGGGUUGUAAUAGUUCUGUGGGCAUAGUGUGUCUUCGAAGCCACUAUGUUUUCUGCACUUGUGACUAGAGAGCACCUUGAUAGCUCAGUUGGUAGAGCGGUGGACUGUAAGAUGCUCCUUGUGUGAAACGCUGUGAUCCUAAGGUCGCUGGUUCAACUCCAGCCGGAAGCACCUCCUCGUCAUUGGAAAUACCCCAAAACCUUGUCUUUAUCUGUCAACUCCUCCAAAAUGUAAAAACACAAACAAGAUAACUCUUUCUUAAAUUUUCAACCAUCAAUUUUUUAUUCACCCAGCCUAAAAGUCCUGAUUAUCAGUUCUGGGUCCCUGGCAAUGACUGUUGGGUACAAACUGCAAAGCUUUGUUCGUCAGGUAGGGCUGGGCUUUUCAUUGACCAUGGGUUGGAAUAGUUCUGUGGGCAUAGUGUGUCUUCGAAGCCACUAUGUUUUCUGCACUUGUGACUAGAGAGCACCUUGAUAGCUCAGUUGGUAGAGCGGUGGACUGUAAGAUGCUCCUUGUGUGAAACGCUGUGAUCCUAAGGUGGCUGGUUCAACUCCAGCCGGAAGCACCUCCUUGUCAUUGGAAAUACCCCCAAGCCUUGUCUUUAUCUGUCAACUCCUCCAAAAUGUAAAAACACAAACAAGAUAACUCUUUCUUAAAUUUUCAACCAUCAAUUUUUUAUUCACCCAGCCUAAAAGUCCUGAUUAUCAGUUCUGGGUCCCUGGCAAUGACUGUUGGGUACAAACUGCAAAGCUUUGUUCGUCAGGUAGGGCUGGGCUUUUCAUUGACCAUGGGUUGGAAUAGUUCUGUGGGCAUAGUGUGUCUUCGAAGCCACUAUGUUUUCUGCACUUGUGACUAGAGAGCACCUUGAUAGCUCAGUUGGUAGAGCGGUGGACUGUAAGAUGCUCCUUGUGUGAAACGCUGUGAUCCUAAGGUGGCUGGUUCAACUCCAGCCGGAAGCACCUCCUUGUCAUUGGAAAUACCCCCCAAGCCUUCUCUUUAUCUGUCAACUCCUCCAAAAUGUAAAAACACAAACAAGAUAACUCUUUCUUAAAUUUUCAACCAUCAAUUUUUUAUUCACCCAGCCUAAAAGUCCUGAUUAUCAGUUCUGGGUCCCUGGCAAUGACUGUUGGGUACAAACUGCAAAGCUUUGUUCGUCAGGUAGGGCUGGGCUUUUCAUUGACCAUGGGUUGGAAUAGUUCUGUGGGCAUAGUGUGUCUUCGAAGCCACUAUGUUUUCUGCACUUGUGACUAGAGAGCACCUUGAUAGCUCAGUUGGUAGAGCGGUGGACUGUAAGAUGCUCCUUGUGUGAAACGCUGUGAUCCUAAGGUGGCUGGUUCAACUCCAGCCGGAAGCACCUCCUUGUCAUUGGAAAUACCCCCAAGCCUUGUCUUUAUCUGUCAACUCCUCCAAAAUGUAAAAACACAAACAAGAUAACUCGUUCUUAAAUUUUCAACCAUCAAUUUUUUAUUCACCCAGCCUAAAAGUCCUGAUUAUCAGUUCUGGGUCCCUGGCAAUGACUGUUGGGUACAAACUGCAAAGCUUUGUUCGUCAGGUAGGGCUGGGCUUUUCAUUGACCAUGGGUUGUAAUAGUUCUGUGGGCAUAGUGUGUCUUCGAAGCCACUAUGUUUUCUGCACUUGUGACUAGAGAGCACCUUGAUAGCUCAGUUGGUAGAGCGGUGGACUGUAAGAUGCUCCUUGUGUGAAACGCUGUGAUCCUAAGGUCGCUGGUUCAACUCCAGCCGGAAGCACCUCCUCGUCAUUGGAAAUACCCCAAAACCUUGUCUUUAUCUCUCAACUCCUCCAAAAUGUAAAAACACAAACAAGAUAACUCUUUCUUAAAUUUUCAACCAUCAAUUUUUUAUUCACCCAGCCUAAAAGUCCUGAUUAUCAGUUCUGGGUCCCUGGCAAUGACUGUUGGGUACAAACUGCAAAGCUUUGUUCGUCAGGUAGGGCUGGGCUUUUCAUUGACCAUGGGUUGGAAUAGUUCUGUGGGCAUAGUGUGUCUUCGAAGCCACUAUGUUUUCUGCACUAGUGACUAGAGAGCCCCUUGAUAGCUCAGUUGGUAGAGCGGUGGACUGUAAGAUGCUCCUUGUGUGAAACGCUGUGAUCCUAAGGUGGCUGGUUCAACUCCGGCCGGAAGCACCUCCUUGUCAUUGGAAAUACCCCCAAGCCUUGUCUUUAUCUGUCAACUCCUCCAAAAUGUAAAAACACAAACAAGAUAACUCUUUCUUAAAUUUUCAACCAUCAAUUUUUUAUUCACCCAGCCUAAAAGUCCUGAUUAUCAGUUCUGGGUCCCUGGCAAUGACUGUUGGGUACAAACUGCAAAGCUUUGUUCGUCAGGUAGGGCUGGGCUUUUCAUUGACCAUGGGUUGGAAUAGUUCUGUGGGCAUAGUGUGUCUUCGAAGCCACUAUGUUUUCUGCACUUGUGACUAGAGAGCACCUUGAUAGCUCAGUUGGUAGAGCGGUGGACUGUAAGAUGCUCCUUGUGUGAAACGCUGUGAUCCUAAGGUGGCUGGUUCAACUCCAGCCGGAAGCACCUCCUUGUCAUUGGAAAUACCCCCAAGCCUUGUCUUUAUCUGUCAACUCCUCCAAAAUGUAAAAACACAAACAAGAUAACUCUUUCUUAAAUUUUCAACCAUCAAUUUUUUAUUCACCCAGCCUAAAAGUCCUGAUUAUCAGUUCUGGGUCCCUGGCAAUGACUGUUGGGUACAAACUGCAAAGCUUUGUUCGUCAGGUAGGGCUGGGCUUUUCAUUGACCAUGGGUUGGAAUAGUUCUGUGGGCAUAGUGUGUCUUCGAAGCCACUAUGUUUUCUGCACUUGUGACUAGAGAGCACCUUGAUAGCUCAGUUGGUAGAGCGGUGGACUGUAAGAUGCUCCUUGUGUGAAACGCUGUGAUCCUAAGGUGGCUGGUUCAACUCCAGCCGGAAGCACCUCCUUGUCAUUGGAAAUACCCCCAAGCCUUGUCUUUAUCUGUCAACUCCUCCAAAAUGUAAAAACACAAACAAGAUAACUCUUUCUUAAAUUUUCAACCAUCAAUUUUUUAUUCACCCAGCCUAAAAGUCCUGAUUAUCAGUUCUGGGUCCCUGGCAAUGACUGUUGGGUACAAACUGCAAAGCUUUGUUCGUCAGGUAGGGCUGGGCUUUUCAUUGACCAUGGGUUGGAAUAGUUCUGUGGGCAUAGUGUGUCUUCGAAGCCACUAUGUUUUCUGCACUUGUGACUAGAGAGCACCUUGAUAGCUCAGUUGGUAGAGCGGUGGACUGUAAGAUGCUCCUUGUGUGAAACGCUGUGAUCCUAAGGUCGCUGGUUCAACUCCAGCAGGAAGCACCUCCUUGUCAUUGGAAAUACCCCCAAGCCUUGUCUUUAUCUGUCAACUCCUCCAAAAUGUAAAAACACAAACAAGAUAACUCUUUCUUAAAUUUUCAACCAUCAAUUUUUUAUUCACCCAGCCUAAAAGUCCUGAUUAUCAGUUCUGGGUCCCUGGCAAUGACUGUUGGGUACAAACUGCAAAGCUUUGUUCGUCAGGUAGGGCUGGGCUUUUCAUUGACCAUGGGUUGGAAUAGUUCUGUGGGCAUAGUGUGUCUUCGAAGCCACUAUGUUUUCUGCACUUGUGACUAGAGAGCACCUUGAUAGCUCAGUUGGUAGAGCGGUGGACUGUAAGAUGCUCCUUGUGUGAAACGCUGUGAUCCUAAGGUGGCUGGUUCAACUCCAGCUGGAAGCAUCUCCUUGUCAUUGGAAAUACCCCCAAGCCUUGUCUUUAUCUGUCAACUCCUCCAAAAUGUAAAAACACAAACAAGAUAACUCUUUCUUAAAUUUUCAACCAUCAAUUUUUUAUUCACCCAGCCUAAAAGUCCUGAUUAUCAGUUCUGGGUCCCUGGCAAUGACUGUUGGGUACAAACUGCAAAGCUUUGUUCGUCAGGUAGGGCUGGGCUUUUCAUUGACCAUGGGUUGGAAUAGUUCUGUGGGCAUAGUGUGUCUUCGAAGCCACUAUGUUCUCUGCACUUGUGACUAGAGAGCACCUUUAUAGCUCAAUUGGUAGAGAGGUGGACUGUAAGAUGCUCCUUGUGUGAAACGCUGUGAUCCUAAGGUCUCUGGUUCAACUCCAGCCGGAAGCACCUCCUUUUCAUUGGAAAUACCCCCAAGCCUUGUCUUUAUCUGUCAACUCCUCCAAAUUGUAAAAACACAAACAAGGUAACUCUUUCUUAAAUUUUCAACCAUCAAUUUUUUAUUCACCCAGCCUAAAAGUCCUCAUUAUCAGUUCUGGGUCCCUGGCAAUGACUGUUGGGUACAAACUGCAAAGCUUUGUUCGUCAGGUAGGGCUGGGCUUUUCAUUGACCAUGGGUUGGAAUAGUUCUGUGGGCAUAGUGUGUCUUCGAAGCCACUAUGUUUUCUGCACUAGGGACUAGAGAGCACCUUGAUAGCUCAGUUGGUAGAGCGGUGGACUGUAAGAUGCUCCUUGUGUGAAACGCUGUGAUCCUAAGGUCGCUGGUUCAACUCCAGCCGGAAGCACCUCCUCGUCAUUCGAAAUACCCCAAAACCUUGUCUUUAUCUGUCAACUCCUCCAAAAUGUAAAAACACAAACAAGAUAACUCUUUCUUAAAUUUUCAACCAUCAAUUUUUUAUUCACCCAGCCUAAAAGUCCUGAUUAUCAGUUCUGGGUCCCUGGCAAUGACUGUUGGGUACAAACUGCAAAGCUUUGUUCGUCAGGUAGGGCUGGGCUUUUCAUUGACCAUGGGUUGGAAUAGUUCUGUGGGCAUAGUGUGUCGUCGAAGCAACUAUGUUUUCUGCAUUAGGGACUAGAGAGCCCCUUGAUAGCUCAGUUCGUAGAGCUGUGGACUGUAAGAUGCUCCUUGUGUGAAACGCUGUGAUCCUAAGGUGGCUGGUUCAACUCCGGCCGGAAGCACCUCCUUGUCAUUGGAAAUACCCCCAAGCCUUGUCUUUAUCUGUCAACUCCUCCAAAAUGUAAAAACACAAACAAGAUAACUCUUUCUUAAAUUUUCAACCAUCAAUUUUUUAUUCACCCAGCCUAAAAGUCCUGAUUAUCAGUUCUGGGUCCCUGGCAAUGACUGUUGGGUACAAACUGCAAAGCUUUGUUCGUCAGGUAGGGCUGGGCUUUUCAUUGACCAUGGGUUGGAAUAGUUCUGUGGGCAUAGUGUGUCUUCGAAGCCACUAUGUUUUCUGCACAUGUGACUAGAGAGCCCCUUGAUAGCUCAGUUGGUAGACCGGUGGACUGUAAGAUGCUCCUUGUGUGAAACGCUGUGAUCCUAAGGUCGCUCGUUCAACUCCAGCCGGAAACACCUCCUCGUCAUUGGAAAUACCCCCAAGCCUUGUCUUUAUCUGUCAACUCCUCCAAAAUGUAAAAACACAAACAAGAUAACUCGUUCUUAAAUUUUCAACCAUCAAUUUUUUAUUCACCCAGCCUAAAAGUCCUGAUUAUCAGUUCUGGGUCCCUGGCAAUGACUGUUGGGUACAAACUGCAAAGCUUUGUUCGUCAGGUAGGGCUGGGCUUUUCAUUGACCAUGGGUUGGAAUAGUUCUGUGGGCAUAGUGUGUCUUCGAAGCCACUAUGUUUUCUGCACUUGUGACUAGAGAGCACCUUGAUAGCUCAGUUGGUAGAGCGGUGGACUGUAAGAUGCUCCUUGUGUGAAACGCUGUGAUCCUAAGGUGGCUGGUUCAACUCCAGCCGGAAGCACCUCCUCGUCAUUGGAAAUACCCCAAAACCUUGUCUUUAUCUGUCAACUCCUCCAAAAUGUAAAAACACAAACAAGAUAACUCUUUCUUAAAUUUUCAACCAUCAAUUUUUUAUUCACCCAGCCUAAAAGUCCUGAUUAUCAGUUCUGGGUCCCUGGCAAUGACUGUUGGGUACAAACUGCAAAGCUUUGUUCGUCAGGUAGGGCUGGGCUUUUCAUUGACCAUGGGUUGGAAUAGUUCUGUGGGCAUAGUGUGUCUUCGAAGCCACUAUGUUUUCUGCACUAGGGACAAGAGAGCCCCUUGAUAGCUCAGUUGGUAGAGCGGUGGACUGUAAGAUGCUCCUUGUGUGAAACGCUGUGAUCCUAAGGUGGCUGGUUCAACUCCAGCCGGAAGCACCUCCUUGUCAUUGGAAAUACCGCCAAGCCUUGUCUUUAUCUGUCAACUCCUCCAAAAUGUAAAAACACAAACAAGAUAACUCUUUCUUAAAUUUUCAACCAUCAAUUAUUUAUUCACCCAGCCUAAAAGUCCUGAUUAUCAGUUCUGGGUCCCUGGCAAUGACUGUUGGGUACAAACUGCAAAGCUUUGUUCGUCAGGUAGGGCUGGGCUUUUCAUUGACCAUGGGUUGGAAUAGUUCUGUGGGCAUAGUGUGUCUUCGAAGCCACUAUGUUUUCUGCACUUGUGACUAGAGAGCACCUUGAUAGCUCAGUUGGUAGAGCGGUGGACUGUAAGAUGCUCCUUGUGUGAAACGCUGUGAUCCGAAGGUGGCUGGUUCAACUCCAGCCGGAAGCACCUCCUUGUCAUUGGAAAUACCCCCAAGCCUUGUCUUUAUCUGUCAACUCCUCCAAAAUGUAAAAACACAAACAAGAUAACUCUUUCUUAAAUUUUCAACCAUCAAUUUUUUAAUCACCCAGCCUAAAAGUCCUGAUUAUCAGUUCUGGGUCCCUGGCAAUGACUGUUGGGUACAAACUGCAAAGCUUUGUUCGUCAGGUAGGGCUGGGCUUUUCAUUGACCAUGGGUUGGAAUAGUUCUGUGGGCAUAGUGUGUCUUCGAAGCCACUAUGUUUUCUGCACUUGUGACUAGAGAGCACCUUGAUAGCUCAGUUGGUAGAGCGGUGGACUGUAAGAUGCUCCUUGUGUGAAACGCUGUCAUCCUAAGGUGGCUGGUUCAACUCCAGCCCGAAGCACCUCCUUGUCAUUGGAAAUACCCCCAAGCCUUGUCUUUAUCUGUCAACUCCUCCAAAAUGUAAAAACACAAACAAGAUAACUCUUUCUUAAAUUUUCAACCAUCAAUUUUUUAUUCACCCAGCCUAAAAGUCCUGAUUAUCAGUUCUGGGUCCCUGGCAAUGACUGUUGGGUACAAACUGCAAAGCUUUGUUCGUCAGGUAGGGCUGGGCUUUUCAUUGACCAUGGGUUGGAAUAGUUCUGUGGGCAUAGUGUGUCUUCGAAGCCACUAUGUUUUCUGCACUUGAGACUAGAGAGCACCUUGAUAGCUCAGUUGGUAGAGCGGUCGACUGUAAGAUGCUCCUUGUGUGAAACGCUGUGAUCCUAAGGUCGCUGGUUCAACUCCAGCCGGAAGCACCUCCUUGUCAUUGGAAAUACCCCCAAGCCUUGUCUUUAUCUGUCAACUCCUCCAAAAUGUAAAAACACAAACAAGAUAACUCUUUCUUAAAUUUUCAACCAUCAAUUUUUUAUUCACCCAGCCUAAAAGUCCUGAUUAUCAGUUCUGGGUCCCUGGCAAUGACUGUUGGGUACAAACUGCAAAGCUUUGUUCGUCAGGUAGGGCUGGGCUUUUCAUUGACCAUGGGUUGGAAUAGUUCUGUGGGCAUAGUGUGUCUUCGAAGCCACUAUGUUUUCUGCACUUGUGACUAGAGAGCACCUUGAUAGCUCAGUUGGUAGAGCGGUGGACUGUAAGAUGCUCCUUGUGUGAAACGCUGUGAUCCUAAGGUCGCUGGUUCAACUCCAGCCGGAAGCAGCUCCUCGUCAUUGGAAAUACCCCAAAACCUUGUCUUUAUCUGUCAACUCCUCCAAAAUGUAAAAACACAAACAAGAUAACUCUUUCUUAAAUUUUCAACCAUCAAUUUUUUAUUCACCCAGCCUAAAAGUCCUGAUUAUCAGUUCUGGGUCCCUGGCAAUGACUGUUGGGUACAAACUGCAAAGCUUUGUUCGUCAGGUAGGGCUGGGCUUUUCAUUGACCAUGGGUUGGAAUAGUUCUGUGGGCAUAGUGUGUCUUCGAAGCAACUAUGUUUUCUGCACUAGGGACUAGAGAGCCCCUUGAUAGCUCAGUUCGUAGAGCGGUGGACUGUAAGAUGCUCCUUGUGUGAAACGCUGUGAUCCUAAGGUGGCUGGUUCAACUCCGGCCGGAAGCACCUCCUUGUCAUUGGAAAUACCCCCAAGCCUUGUCUUUAUCUGUCAACUCCUCCAAAAUGUAAAAACACAAACAAGAUAACUCGUUCUUAAAUUUUCAACCAUCAAUUUUUUAUUCACCCAGCCUAAAAGUCCUGAUUAUCAGUUCUGGGUCCCUGGCAAUGACUGUUGGGUACAAACUGCAAAGCUUUGUUCGUCAGGUAGGGCUGGGCUUUUCAUUGACCAUGGGUUGGAAUAGUUCUGUGGGCAUAGUGUGUCUUCGAAGCCACUAUGUUUUCUGCACUUGUGACUAGAGAGCACCUUGAUAGCUCAGUUGGUAGAGCGGUGGACUGUAAGAUGCUCCUUGUGUGAAACGCUGUGAUCCUAAGGUCGUUGGUUCAACUCCAGCCGGAAGCACCUCCUCGUCAUUGGAAAUACCCCAAAACCUUGUCUUUAUCUCUCAACUCCUCCAAAAUGUAAAAACACAAACAAGAUAACUCUUUCUUAAAUUUUCAACCAUAAAUUUUUUAUUCACCCAGCCUAAAAGUCCUGAUUAUCAGUUCUGGGUCCCUGGCAAUGACUGUUGGGUACAAACUGCAAAGCUUUGUUCGUCAGGUAGGGCUGGGCUUUUCAUUGACCAUGGGUUGGAAUAGUUCUGUGGGCAUAGUGUGUCUUCGAAGCCACUAUGUUUUCUGCACUAGGGACAAGAGAGCCCCUUGAUAGCUCAGUUGGUAGAGCGGUGGACUGUAAGAUGCUCCUUGUGUGAAACGCUGUGAUCCUAAGGUGGCUGGUUCAACUCCGGCCGGAAGCACCUCCUUGUCAUUGGAAAUACCCCCAAGCCUUGUCUUUAUCUGUCAACUCCUCCAAAAUGUAAAAACACAAACAAGAUAACUCUUUCUUAAAUUUUCAACCAUCAAUUUUUUAUUCACCCAGCCUAAAAGUCCUGAUUAUCAGUUCUGGGUCCCUGGCAAUGACUGUUGGGUACAAACUGCAAAGCUUUGUUCGUCAUGUAGGGCUGGGCUUUUCAUUGACCAUGCGUUGGAAUAGUUCUGUGGGCAUAGUGUGUCUUCGAAGCCACUAUGUUUUCUGCACUUGUGACUAGAGAGCACCUUGAUAGCUCAGUUGGUAGAGCGGUCGACUGUAAGAUGCUCCUUGUGUGAAACGCUGUGAUCCUAAGGUGGCUGGUUCAACUCCAGCCGGAAGCACCUCCUUGUCAUUGGAAAUACCCCCAAGCCUUGUCUUUAUCUGUCAACUCCUCCAAAAUGUAAAAACACAAACAAGAUAACUCUUUCUUAAAUUUUCAACCAUCAAUUUUUUAUUCACCCAGCCUAAAAGUCCUGAUUAUCAGUUCUGGGUCCCUGGCAAUGACUGUUGGGUACAAACUGCAAAGCUUUGUUCGUCAGGUAGGGCUGGGCUUUUCAUUGACCAUGGGUUGGAAUAGUUCUGUGGGCAUAGUGUGUCUUCGAAGCCACUAUGUUUUCUGCACUUGUGACUAGAGAGCACCUUGAUAGCUCAGUUGGUAGAGCGGUGGACUGUAAGAUGCUCCUUGUGUGAAACGCUGUCAUCCUAAGGUGGCUGGUUCAACUCCAGCCCGAAGCACCUCCUUGUCAUUGGAAAUACCCCCAAGCCUUGUCUUUAUCUGUCAACUCCUCCAAAAUGUAAAAACACCAACAAGAUAACUCUUUCUUAAAUUUUCAACCAUCAAUUUUUUAUUCACCCAGCCUAAAAGUCCUGAUUAUCAGUUCUGGGUCCCUGGCAAUGACUGUUGGGUACAAACUGCAAAGCUUUGUUCUGCAGGUAGGGCUGGGCUUUUCAUUGACCAUGGGUUGGAAUAGUUCUGUGGGCAUAGUGUGUCUUCGAAGCCACUAUGUUUUCUGCACUUGAGACUAGAGAGCCCCUUGAUAGCUCAGUUGGUAGAGCGGUGGACUGUAAGAUGCUCCUUGUGUGAAACGCUGUGAUCCUAAGGUCGCUGGUUCAACUCCAGCCGGAAGCACCUCCUUGUCAUUGGAAAUACCCCCAAGCCUUGUCUUUAUCUGUCAACUCCUCCAAAAUGUAAAAACACAAACAAGAUAACUCUUUCUUAAAUUUUCAACCAUCAAUUUUUUAUUCACCCAGCCUAAAAGUCCUGAUUAUCAGUUCUGGGUCCCUGGCAAUGACUGUUGGGUACAAACUGCAAAGCUUUGUUCGUCAGGUAGGGCUGGGCUUUUCAUUGACCAUGGGUUGGAAUAGUUCUGUGGGCAUAGUGUGUCUUCGAAGCCACUAUGUUUUCUGCACUUGUGACUAGAGAGCACCUUGAUAGCUCAGUUGGUAGAGCGGUGGACUGUAAGAUGCUCCUUGUGUGAAACGCUGUGAUCCUAAGGUGGCUGGUUCAACUCCAGCCGGAAGCACCUCCUUGUCAUUGGAAAUACCCCAAAACCUUGUCUUUAUCUGUCAACUCCUCCAAAAUGUAAAAACACAAACAAGAUAACUCUUUCUUAAAUUUUCAACCAUCAAUUUUUUAUUCACCCAGCCUAAAAGUCCUGAUUAUCAGUUCUGGGUCCCUGGCAAUGACUGUUGGGUACAAACUGCAAAGCUUUGUUCGUCAGGUAGGGCUGGGCUUUUCAUUGACCAUGGGUUGGAAUAGUUCUGUGGGCAUAGUGUGUCUUCGAAGCAACUAUGUUUUCUGCACUAGGGACUACAGAGCCCCUUGAUAGCUCAGUUGGUAGAGCGGUGGACUGUAAGAUGCUCCUUGUGUGAAACGCUGUGAUCCUAAGGUGGCUGGUUCAACUCCGGCCGGAAGCACCUCCUUGUCAUUGGAAAUACCCCCAAGCCUUGUCUUUAUCUGUCAACUCCUCCAAAAUGUAAAAACACAAACAAGAUAACUCGUUCUUAAAUUUUCAACCAUCAAUUUUUUAUUCACCCAGCCUAAAAGUCCUGAUUAUCAGUUCUGGGUCCCUGGCAAUGACUGUUGGGUACAAACUGCAAAGCUUUGUUCGUCAGGUAGGGCUGGGCUUUUCAUUGACCAUGGGUUGGAAUAGUUCUGUGGGCAUAGUGUGUCUUCGAAGCCACUAUGUUUUCUGCACUUGUGACUAGAGAGCACCUUGAUAGCUCAGUUGGUAGAGCGGUGGACUGUAACAUGCUCCUUGUGUGAAACGCUGUGAUCCUAAGGUCGCUGGUUCAACUCCAGCCGGAAGCACCUCCUCGUCAUUGGAAAUACCCCAAAACCUUGUCUUUAUCUCUCAACUCCUCCAAAAUGUAAAAACACAAACAAGAUAACUCUUUCUUAAAUUUUCAACCAUCAAUUUUUUAUUCACCCAGCCUAAAAGUCCUGAUUAUCAGUUCUGGGUCCCUGGCAAUGACUGUUGGGUACAAACUGCAAAGCUUUGUUCGUCAGGUAGGGCUGGGCUUUUCAUUGACCAUGGGUUGGAAUAGUUCUGUGGGCAUAGUGUGUCUUCGAAGCCACUAUGUUUUCUGCACUAGGGACAAGAGAGCCCCUUGAUAGCUCAGUUGGUAGAGCGGUGGACUGUAAGAUGCUCCUUGUGUGAAACGCUGUGAUCCUAAGGUGGCUGGUUCAACUCCGGCCGGAAGCACCUCCUUGUCAUUGGAAAUACCCCCAAGCCUUGUCUUUAUCUGUCAACUCCUCCAAAAUGUAAAAACACAAACAAGAUAACUCUUUCUUAAAUUUUCAACCAUCAAUUUUUUAUUCACCCAGCCUAAAAGUCCUGAUUAUCAGUUCUGGGUCCCUGGCAAUGACUGUUGGGUACAAACUGCAAAGCUUUGUUCGUCAGGUAGGGCUGGGCUUUUCAUUGACCAUGGGUUGGAAUAGUUCUGUGGGCAUAGUGUGUCUUCGAAGCCACUAUGUUUUCUGCACUUGUGACUAGAGAGCACCUUGAUAGCUCAGUUGGUAGAGCGGUCGACUGUAAGAUGCUCCUUGUGUGAAACGCUGUGAUCCUAAGGUGGCUGUUUCAACUCCAGCCGGAAGCACCUCCUUGUCAUUGGAAAUACCCCCAAGCCUUCUCUUUAUCUGUCAACUCCUCCAAAAUGUAAAAACACAAACAAGAUAACUCUUUCUUAAAUUUUCAACCAUCAAUUUUUUAUUCACCCAGCCUAAAAGUCCUGAUUAUCAGUUCUGGGUCCCUGGCAAUGACUGUUGGGUACAAACUGCAAAGCUUUGUUCGUCAGGUAGGGCUGGGCUUUUCAUUGACCAUGGGUUGGAAUAGUUCUGUGGGCAUAGUGUGUCUUCGAAGCCACUAUGUUUUCUGCACUUGUGACUAGAGAGCACCUUGAUAGCUCAGUUGGUAGAGCGGUGGACUGUAAGAUGCUCCUUGUGUGAAACGCUGUGAUCCUAAGGUGGCUGGUUCAACUCCAGCCGGAAGCACCUCCUUGUCAUUGGAAAUACCCCCAAGCCUUGUCUUUAUCUGUCAACUCCUCCAAAAUGUUAAAACACAAACAAGAUAACUCUUUCUUAAAUUUUCAACCAUCAAUUUUUUAUUCACCCAGCCUAAAAGUCCUGAUUAUCAGUUCUGGGUCCCUGGCAAUGACUGUUGGGUACAAACUGCAAAGCUUUGUUCGUCAGGUAGGGCUGGGCUUUUCAUUGACCAUGGGUUGGAAUAGUUCUGUGGGCAUAGUGUGUCUUCGAAGCCACUAUGUUUUCUGCACUUGUGACUAGAGAGCACCUUGAUAGCUCAGUUGGUAGAGCGGUGGACUGUAAGAUGCUCCUUGUGUGAAACGCUGUGAUCCUAAGGUGGCUGGUUCAACUCCAGCCGGAAGCACCUCCUUGUCAUUGGAAAUACCCCCAAGCCUUGUCUUUAUCUGUCAACUCCUCCAAAAUGUGAAAACACAAACAAGAUAACUCUUUCUUAAAUUUUCAACCAUCAAUUUUUUAUUCACCCAGCCUAAAAGUCCUGAUUAUCAGUUCUGGGUCCCUGGCAAUGACUGUUGGGUACAAACUGCAAAGCUUUGUUCGUCAGGUAGGGCUGGGCUUUUCAUUGACCAUGGGUUGGAAUAGUUCUGUGGGCAUAGUGUGUCUUCGAAGCCACUAUGUUUUCUGCACUUGUGAGUAGAGAGCACCUUGAUAGCUCAGUUGGUAGAGCGGUGGACUGUAAGAUGCUCCUUGUGUGAAACGCUGUGAUCCUAAGGUGGCUGGUUCAACUCCAGCCGGAAGCACCUCCUUGUCAUUGGAAAUACCCCCAAGCCUUGUCUUUAUCUGUCAACUCCUCCAAAAUGUUAAAACACAAACAAGAUAACUCUUUCUUAAAUUUUCAACCAUCAAUUUUUUAUUCACCCAGCCUAAAAGUCCUGAUUAUCAGUUCUGGGUCCCUGGCAAUGACUGUUGGGUACAAACUGCAAAGCUUUGUUCGUCAGGUAGGGCUGGGCUUUUCAUUGACCAUGGGUUGGAAUAGUUCUGUGGGCAUAGUGUGUCUUCGAAGCCACUAUGUUUUCUGCACUUGUGACUAGAGAGCACCUUGAUAGCUCAGUUGCUAGAGCGGUGCACUGUAAGAUGCUCCUUGUGUGAAACGCUGUGAUCCUAAGGUCGCUGGUUCAACUCCAGCCGCAAGCACCUCCUUGUCAUUGGAAAUACCCCCAAGCCUUGUCUUUAUCUGUCAACUCCUCCAAAAUGUAAAAACACAAACAAGAUAACUCUUUCUUAAAUUUUCAACCAUCAAUUUUUUAUUCACCCAGCCUAAAAGUCCUGAUUAUCAGUUCUGGGUCCCUGGCAAUGACUGUUGGGUACAAACUGCAAAGCUUUGUUCGUCAGGUAGGGCUGGGCUUUUCAUUGACCAUGGGUUGGAAUAGUUCUGUGGGCAUAGUGUGUCUUCGAAGCCACUAUGUUUUCUGCACUUGUGACUAGAGAGCACCUUGAUAGCUCAGUUGGUAGAGCGGUGGACUGUAACAUGCUCCUUGUGUGAAACGCUGUGAUCCUAAGGUCGCUGGUUCAACACCAGCCGGAAGCACCUCUUUGUCAUUGGAAAUACCCCCAAGCCUUGUCUUUAUCUGUCAACUC